rnacentral:misc_RNA from 1 species
AACGCACCUUGCACUCUUUGGUAUUCCGAAGAGUAUGUCUGUUUGAGUGUCAUGAAACUCUCAACCCCCCAGUUUUGUAAUGAAACCGGUGUGGGCUUGGAUUAUGGCUGCCUGUCGGCGUCACGUCGGCUCAGCUGAAACAUACGAGCUGCCCCUUGAAAAUAGACGGUCUGACUCGGCGUAAUAAAUAUUUCGCUGAGGACGUCUUCUUUGUUAUGACUGGCGCUUCCAAUGCAAUAAUCUUUCGAUUAGACCUCAAAUCAGGCAGGACUACCCGCUGAACUUAA